UCCAAUGUGGUGUAGUGGCUAACAUUGCUGUCUUUCAUGAGGUGGACGCACAGUAGCCCGGGGUUCGAUUCCCCGCAUUGGAA
rfam:Gymnopus luxurians FD-317 M1 unplaced genomic scaffold GYMLTscaffold_4, whole genome shotgun sequence.